AGAUCCUUUACAUCCCAUAGAAUAUUUCUCAAGACAUAAGCCAAAAGUAAAUAUUCAAAUACAGCUGAAAAUUGACUUAACCUUGUUGAUUACAUAUUAUCGGUCUGUCAACGGAUACAUUUUGUAACUACAUAUGUCCGACUCUCCAGCUAACAGUAAAUUUUUCAUCAAAAUUCUACUGAUAGAGCAGAAAUCAGAAAUUUGAUGUAACCUUAUAAGCUCAUAACUAUGAGCAACGGAUUAAUUUUUCCCAGUGUGUACCCAACCCAAUUCUACAACUGAUCAAGAAAUUUUACUCACAAUUUGUACUGGUUAAAUAACUGAAAAUUAGGAUUUGAAUACCAUCAACCCCGAUGAAGCAGUUACUUACGGUGCUGCCGUUCUUAGUGGAGAUCCAAGUUAAAUAUUUGAAAAUUUAACCCUCAUUGAUGUCACUCCUCUAUUGUUGGGUAUAAGUGUUAAGGAAGAUGAUAUAAUGGACACCAUAAUACCGAGAAACACACCUAUUUCGUGUAAGAUGACGGACUACACUACACUCAGUGAUAAACAAGAGCAAAAUAUAUAUAUAUAGGAGUUUUUGAAGGAGAAAGUACACUUAGUCAUCAUAAUAAUCUUUUGGGGAGUUUUUUCUUAACUGGAAUAGAGCCAGCUCCCAGAAGUAUACCCAGAAUCAUUAUAACUUUUAAUAUAGACUCCAAUGGUAUUCUAAGUGUUUCGGCCACACAAAAACGGCUUUACCAAAAGUAUAGUUAUAAAAAAUGAAAAUUUAUUGUAAAUAUAAUUUUUGUUAUCUUUAGGUUAAACAUUUUUCAUGUACACAUUUUAUUUUAUAAGUGCUAAAAAAAUGUAUUACCUAAACAAAUUUCAAAAAGCGUUCUAUUCAAAUAAAUACUUUCUACAGGUGUGCGUUGAAAAAUAA